rnacentral:snoRNA from 1 species
AUGAAGCAAAGAUUCCAAUCACUAAAGAUGGAGAAAGCCAUGGGAGCCUGGUGUGCAAUGGUUGCAAACAGCAGCCUCCUUGGUAGUGUAUGCAGCCUGUUGCCCA